rnacentral:rRNA from 1 species
AAAAACAUGUCUUUUUGAUUAUAAUUUAAAGUCGGCUCUGCCCACUGAUAGAUUAAAUGGCCGCGGUAUUUUGACCGUGCAAAGGUAGCAUAAUCAUUAGUUUUUUAAUUGAAAGCUGGAAUGAAGGAGUUGAUGAAAAAAUAUCUGUCUCUAAUUUAAUAUUUUGGAAUUUUAUUUUUAAGUAAAAAAGCUUAAAUAAGUAUUAAAGACGAUAAGACCCUAUAGAGUUUUAUAUAUAAAUUUAUAAUAGUGUAAGAAUAUUAAAAAAUUAUAAUGUAAAUAUAUUUAAUUGGGGCGAUUAAAAAAUUAAAAUAACUUUUUUUUAUAUCAACAUAUAUAUAUGAUUAAUUGAUCCAAAUAUUAUGAUUAUAAGAAUAAAUUACCUUAGGGAUAACAGCGUAAUUUUUUUUUAGAGAUCAAAUCGAAAGAAAAGUUUGCGACCUCGAUGUUGGAUUAAAAUUAAUUUUUGGAGCAGAAGCUAAAAAAUUAGGUCUGUUCGACCUUUAAAAUUUUACAUGAUCU